AUGAGUGAAGUGAUGGGUAAAGAAAAACUGUCUGUAGAGGAAUUUCACAACUCGGGAGCGGAGAGUGGACCCCAGAGAGCCCCGAAGAGCCCCAUUGCCGCCACCAGCCUAGUUACCAUCACACCCCAGAAGGAGCCGAGCUGCCGCAGCCACCCACGCCCUCAGUGCCACCAACACCAAGCCCACACCAAGCCCGGCACCGCGGGCAGCAGCGCAGGGAGCAGUGGCCCGGUAGCCUCAUAUCCACGGCGCCCGCAGGUGGGGACAAGAAGGUCAUCCCAACGAAGGUUUUGGGAACAGUAAAAUGGUUCAAUGUAAGGCACGGAUACGGCUUCAUCAACAGGAAUGAGACCAAGGAAGACGUAUUUGUACACCAGGGUGCCAUAAAGAAUAACCCAAGGAAGUCCAUUCUCAUUGUAGGAGAUGGAGAAACUGUGGAGUUUGUUGUUGAAGGAGAAAAGGGUGCGGAGGCAGCAAAUGUUACAGGUCCUGGUGGAGUUCCUUCCAGUACAAGACAGUAAAGAUGCAGCAGACUGCAACCAUUAUAGACGCUAACCACGCCGUAGGGGUCCGCCACGCAAUUACCAGCAGAAUUACCAGAACAGUGAGAGUGGGGAAGAGAGAGAGAGAUUGGAGAGUGCUCCCGUCGGCCAGGACCAACAACGCGGCCCUUACGCAGGCGAAGGUUACUGCGUGCGGAGACCCUGUGGGCAUCGACCACAGUAUUGCAACCCUCCGGUGCAAGGAGAAGUGAUGGAAGGUGCCAACAAGCGGGGUGCAGGAGAACAAGGUAGACCUGUGAGACAGAACAUGCAUCGAGGUUACAGACCACGAUUCCGCAGGGGUCCUCCUCGCCAACGACAGCCUAGAGAGGACGGAGAUGAACAGGAGAUGAAAACCAAGGAGAGGAGACCCAGGGUCAGCAGCCCCCUCAACGUCGGUACGGCCCCAACUUCAAUUACCGACGCAGACGCCCAGAUACCCCUAAACCACAAGACGGCAGAGACAAAAGCAGCCGAUCCAGCAGCUGAGUGA